GAUGAACGCUGGCGGCGUGCCUAACACAUGCAAGUCGAGCGAGAAUCUUGCUAUUGAUCCUUCGGGUGAUUUAGUAAGAGGACAGCGGCGGACGGGUGAGUAACGCGUGGGUAACCUGCCCUAUACACAGGGAUAGCCUCGGGAAACCGGGAUUAAUACCUGAUAAAGCUCUAGUAUGGCAUCAUACAGGAGUCAAAACUUUAGUGGUAUAGGAUGGACCCGCGUCUGAUUAGCUAGUUGGUAAGGUAAAGGCUUACCAAGGCGACGAUCAGUAGCCGACCUGAGAGGGUGAUCGGCCACACUGGAACUGAGACACGGUCCAGACUCCUACGGGAGGCAGCAGUGGGGAAUAUUGCACAAUGGGCGAAAGCCUGAUGCAGCAACGCCGCGUGAGCGAAGAA
rnacentral:rRNA from 1 species